UUAAAAUGUUAUGAAGAAUUUGUU
rnacentral:snRNA from 1 species